rnacentral:lncRNA from 1 species
GAGGCAGCUUCAGACCGUCGAUCGGCGACGCAGCCGGCCCCAUUGGACAGGUGUACGGAUGCCCCUUGUCGCUGUUCAACGGCAGGGCAAAGCUCAAGAACUUGUCCACCAUGUCCAGAGUCAGAAGAGGUGACUGCGGGUUUUCCAACUCCGACUUGCUCCUUUCCUGCCGGAGGAAACCCGGAUGAAUCGGAAUCGCUCCGGCCACACGCAACGGGCUCAAGUCCGCGUCACCUGCACGUGCCGCCACUUCAUGCACUACGUUCCCUCCGGAGCUGUCUCCAAUGAGGAAGACGCGUUGAAAAUCCACAUGUUCAGUCAGCCAAUUAUUCUCCCGAGCCUGAGCCUGAGCCAGUGAUAGUGACCGGAGCCAAAGGAGGGCUUCGAAACCAUCG